UACGUAGGCAGCGAGCGUUGUUCGGAGUUACUGGGCGUAAAGCGCACGUAGGCGGUCCAGCAAGCGGGGAGUGAAAGCCCUCGGCUUAACCGAGGAAGUGCUUUCCGAACUACUGGACUUGAGUACUGAAGAGGGUCGCGGAAUUCCCGGUGUAGAGGUGAAAUUCGUAGAUAUCGGGAGGAACACCAGUGGCGAAGGCGGCGACCUGGGCAGAUACUGACGCUGAGGUGCGAAAGCGUGGGGAGCAAACAGG
rnacentral:rRNA from 1 species